UUUAAUUGAAGAGUUUGAUCAUGGCUCAGAUUGAACGCUGGCGGCAGGCCUAACACAUGCAAGUCGAACGGUAACAGGGAGCAGCUUGCUGCUUCGCUG
rnacentral:rRNA from 1 species